AUAGAAACACGUGUUAACUCUAUAACAUACGUUCAAUGGGAUGUCCAAAAAGUUAGACUUACGACGGUUUCGAGAAACGGCCUCUGCCUUUUAUGCAUGAUAGGAUUUCGAAACAGGAACAUGUUCACUCGUAUUUUACACAUGCUGAUAGCCUCGAUUGGAUAAAUAUAUGUUCAUACAAGUGAGAAGAAGGGAAAACAACGCAAUCGACAUCACACUCAGAGGACCAUUGUAUCAAAGGUUAGCAUGGGGUCACAGCCUAGUCAACCGAGCCUUCCAGAUGUCGAUCUCAAUGGCAAGGUGGUCAUUGUUACAGGAGCUAAUACAGGCAUUGGAUAUGAGACAACAAAAGCACUGGCUCAGGUGGGAGCAAAGGUCAUUCUAGCGUGCCGAUCUGA